rnacentral:rRNA from 1 species
AGUGAACGCUGGCGGUAGGCCUAACACAUGCAAGUCGAACGGCAGCACAGUAAGAGCUUGCUCUUACGGGUGGCGAGUGGCGGACGGGUGAGGAAUACAUCGGAAUCUACUUUUUCGUGGGGGAUAACGUAGGGAAACUUACGCUAAUACCGCAUACGACCUACGGGUGAAAGCAGGGGAUCUUCGGACCUUGCGCGAUUGAAUGAGCCGAUGUCGGAUUAGCUAGUUGGCGGGGUAAAGGCCCACCAAGGCGACGAUCCGUAGCUGGUCUGAGAGGAUGAUCAGCCACAAUGGAACUGAGACACGGUCCAGAAUUCUAAGGGAGGCAGCAGUGGGGAAUAUUGGACAAUGGGCGCAAGCCUGAUCCAGCCAUACCGCGUGGGUGAAGAAGGCCUUCGGGUUGUAAAGCCCUUCUGUUGGGAAAGAAAAGCAGCAGGUUAAAAACCCGCUGUUCUGACGGUACCCAAAGAAUAAGCACCGGCUAACUUCGUG